rnacentral:rRNA from 1 species
GACAGAGGGUGCAAACGUUGUUCGGAAUUACUGGGCGUAAAGCGUGUGUAGGCGGCUACAUAAGUCGGAUGUGAAAGCCCCGGGCUCAACCCGGGAAGUGCACUCGAUACUGCGUAGCUUGAGUCUCGGAGAGGUUGGUGGAAUUCUCGGUGUAGAGGUGAAAUUCGUAGAUAUCGAGAGGAACACCGGUGGCGAAGGCGGCCAACUGGACGAAGACUGACGCUGGAGACACGAAAGCGUGGGGAGCAA